rnacentral:rRNA from 1 species
UACGUAGGGUGCAGGCGUUAAUCGGAAUUACUGGGCGUAAAGCGUGCGCAGGCGGUUUCUUAAGUCAGAUGUGAAAGCCCCGGGCUUAACCUGGGAACUGCGUUUGAAACUGGGAGACUUGAGUGUGGCAGAGGGGGGUGGAAUUCCACGUGUAGCAGUGAAAUGCGUAGAUAUGCGGAGGAACACCGAUGGCGAAGGCAAUCCCCUGGACCUGUACUGACGCUCAUGCACGAAAGCGUGGGGAGCAAACAGG